AUUGAACGCUGGCGGCAGGCCUAACACAUGCAAGUCGAACGGUAACAGGAAGAAGCUUGCUUCUUUGCUGACGAGUGGCGGACGGGUGAGUAAUGUCUGGGAAACUGCCUGAUGGAGGGGGAUAACUACUGGAAACGGUAGCUAAUACCGCAUAACGUCGCAAGCCCAAAGAGGGGGACCUUCGGGCCUCUUGCCAUCGGAUUUGCCCAGAUGGGAUUAGCUAGUAGGUGGGGUAACGGCUCACCUAGGCGACGAUCCCUAGCUGGUCUGAGAGGAUGACCAGCCACACUGGAACUGAGACACGGUCCAGACUCCUACGGGAGGCAGCAGUGGGGAAUAUUGCACAAUGGGCGCAAGCCUGAUGCAGCCAUGCCGCGUGUAUGAAGAAGGCCUUCGGGUUGUAAAGUACUUUCAGCGGGGAGGAAGGGAGUAAAGUUAAUACCUUUACUCAUUGACGUUACCCGAAGAAGAAGCACCGGCUAACUCCGUG
rnacentral:rRNA from 1 species